rnacentral:rRNA from 1 species
GACGAACGCUGGCGGCGUGGAUUAGGCAUGCAAGUCGAACGGUAUGGACCUUUCGGGGUUCAGAGAGUGGCGAACGGGUGAGUAACACGUAGGUUAUCUACCCUCAAGACGGGGACAACCCAGGGAAACUUGGGCUAAUACCGGAUGUGAGCAACUUUUAGUUGUUUGAAAGGUGGCGUAAGCUGUCGCUUGGGGAUGAGCCUGCGUCCUAUUAGUUAGUUGGUGAGGUAACGGCUCACCUAGGCAAUGAUAGGUAGGCGGCCUUAACGGGUGGUCGCCCACACUGGGAUUGAGAUACGGCCCAGACUCCUACGGGAGGCAGCAGUCGAGAAUAGUCUACAAUGGUCGGAAGACUGAUAGUGCGACGCCGCGUGAACGAUGAAUCCCUUCGGGUGUAAAGUUCUUUUAUAUGUGAGCAGUGCUUCUUAUAUUAACAGUAUGGGGAGAGAGAUAUUAGCAUAUGAAUAAGCAACGGACUAACUACCGUG